rnacentral:rRNA from 1 species
AUUGAACGCUGGCGGCAGGCCUAACACAUGCAAGUCGAACGAGUGGCGGAGGGAGGAGUCAUGUCUGGGAAACUGCCCGAGGGACGUGGCUAACUACUGGAAACGGUAGCUGAUACCGCGUACCAUCGGAUGUGCCCAGAUGGGAUUAGCUUGUAGGUGAGGUACCGGCUCACGUAGGCAACGAUCCCUAGCUGGUCUGAGAGGAUGACCAGCCACACUGGAACUGAGACAGGGUCAAGACUCCUACGCGAGGCAGCAGUGGGGAAUAUUGCGCAAUGGGCGAAAGCGUGAUGCAGCACUGCCGCGUGUAUGAAGAAGGCCUUCGGGUUGGAAAGUACUGUCAGCGGGGAGGCGUUACCCGCAGAAGAAGCACCGGCUAACUCCGUGCCAGCAGCCGCGGUAAUAC